GAUGAACGCUGGCGGCGUGCCUAAUACAUGCAAGUAGAACGCUGAAGGAAGGAGCUUGCCCUUUCCGGAUGAGUUGCGAACGGGUGAGUAACGCGUAGGUAACCUGCCUGGUAGCGGGGGAUAACUAUUGGAAACGAUAGCUAAUACCGCAUAACAGUAGAUGUUGCAUGAUAUCUGCUUGAAAGGGGCAAUUGCUCCACUACCAGAUGGACCUGCGUUGUAUUAGCUAGUUGGUGAGGUAACGGCUCACCAAGGCGACGAUACAUAGCCGACCUGAGAGGGUGAUCGGCCACACUGGGACUGAGACACGGCCCAGACUCCUACGGGAGGCAGCAGUAGGGAAUCUUCGGCAAUGGACGGAAGUCUGACCGAGCAACGCCGCGUGAGUGAAGAAGGUUUUCGGAUCGUAAAGCUCUGUUGUAAGAGAAGAACGAGUGUGAAAGUGGAAAGUUCACACUGUGACGGUAUCUUACCAGAAAGGGACGGCUAACUACGUGCCAGCAGCCGCGGUAAUACGUAGGUCCCGAGCGUUAUCCGGAUUUAUUGGGCGUAAAGCGAGCGCAGGCGGUUAGAUAAGUCUGAAGUUAAAGGCUGUGGCUUAACCAUAGUACGCUUUGGAAACUGUUUAACUUGAGUGCAAGAGGGGAGAGUGGAAUUCCAUGUGUAGCGGUGAAAUGCGUAGAUAUAUGGAGGAACACCGGUGGCGAAAGCGGCUCUCUGGCUUGUAACUGACGCUGAGGCUCGAAAGCGUGGGGAGCAAACAGG
rnacentral:rRNA from 1 species